rnacentral:lncRNA from 1 species
AAGAAUUGCGUCAGUGGCAGAAGAAACUGCGUGAGGACAAGUACAUCCGAGAGCGAGUCAAAAUAUUCUGGACCAAACAGGAAAAUAAAGUGAAAUGCAGAAUGGAAGAUGAGGAAGAGCCUGCAGCUAAGACGCCACAUCCUUAACCGCAGUUGGUAUCUUUUCCCUUCGGCGCUCCCAUCACCCGACUCAAGGAAAAAAAAGUUCCUUCCUCCAUGUCUUUAAAGACUAGAUUUGGUGCAUUUGAAUACAGAAUCUUUUCUGCACAAGCCAGAAUUUGUUGCAAAUCUGAUUUAGUGCAAAUAGGUUUUCGUAAGGAAGCGCUAGUGUUUUUCUGCAUUACCCCCAGUUUUAUUCUUUCAUCGUGUGUAUCUUCAGUGCUUCAGGAUUCUUGUACACCAGCCACUGUUAAAAUGUACAGUGAACUCUAGUUUCAAGAGAUGUGCAAGUGUUCUAAUUACCACUUUCCCACUUUUGGCCGCCUUUGCAAAGAUUCAUGUUUAAAAUUAAGCCCGAAACCUCUGCAGUGGGUUUUAAGUUUAUCUGGUGACACUCUUUGCAGAAAAAAAAGACACUAUCGCCUGUGGUCAUUUCCCAAGGAGACAAACCUUUAACUUUGACCCAAACCCAACAAGAUAAGACGCUUAAACCCAGACAAUAACAGAUAAGGCAUUUUUAUUGUCUAGGCCUCCAAGGAUUAUAGAAAGUUCCUCAUUUGAUGGGUAAACUGACUUAUUACCCUCAAUUGUUCUGCAGUUUGUUGUGGACAGGGCCUCUCCCAUGCAAAAUGCCACGGACAGCCUCCAGGCAGAUCUGACAGCCAAGUAGUUGGAAGGGGUUGUUUUGACAAGCUACCACACGUCUUAAGAAUAGUAAAGCCUUUAUUUAUUUAUUUAUUUUUCGCGUGUUAAGAACAGCAUUUUGAAAAUAAAACCUAUCUGCCCAUGCUUUACAUUUUUAAAUUUGUAAUGUUUAUAUACAGUCAUCUGUGGUACACAUUGAUUGUCUUGAAAUUUCUUUAACGAUUUUUUUUUUCUUUUUAGAAGUAUGCAACAGUCAGCCAGGUUACAUUAUAAAACACACAUUAAUACAUUUAAUAAAUAUAUAUUAUCUAUCAAAAA